AUGAUAACAAGAUAUACAACAAAAAGAUGUCAGCUGAACAUCCAAAAUUUCAUAGCACAAAUCAGUAAACCUCUUAUCUCUCAGAAGUUUCAAGAUUGUUGAAAAUCAUGGAAUCAUAGGGAGAAAGAUCAUAGAUGUAAGAAAGAGAGCAAGCAUAAGAGUACUCAUGUGGGAGAUACUCAUAGAGAUCCAUAUUGAAAUGAAAAUAUUUGAUUAAAAGAUGAUGAAUGAGUACAAUAGUGUUCCUAUAUAUAGAGAUUAGUUUGAGUAACUAACUCUAACUAACUUCUAACCAAACUACUAACUCUAUUUACUUAUCAACUAACUAUAGUUGAUUACAAUUACUCUAGUCUAACUACCUUAACUAACUACACAUAACUUCCAACUAUUUUAACAAAGAUCGCACUCCUCAAGUAAUACGUCACAGAAAUAUAAGACUAAGCUAAUUUGAAUAAAAUUUUCAUGAAGCACUUGAAGAAAGUGAAAUUUUUAAAAAAUAUUGCAAUAACUCCUGAGUUUUUCAAACAAAAGCUCAAAUCAUGAUCUUUUAAGCUUUACCACGUAGCUUCUUUUCAAACAACAACACCGAUCAGCUUGUAUGGACUAUUUCUCAAGUGAAGAACCAUAACAUUUCUUAAUUGAGAAACUCUGAUAAACCAUUAGCUAAUC
rnacentral:lncRNA from 1 species